AGACCCGAAACCCGGUGAUCUAGCCAUGGGCAGGUUGAAGGUUGGGUAACACUAACUGGAGGACCGAACCGACUAAUGUUGAAAAAUUAGCGGAUGACCUGUGGCUGGGGGUGAAAGGCCAAUCAAACCGGGAGAUAGCUGGUUCUCCCCGAAAGCUAUUUAGGUAGCGCCUCGUGAAUUCAUCUCCGGGGGUAGAGCACUGUUUCGGCUAGGGGGCCAUCCCGGCUUACCAACCCGAUGCAAACUGCGAAUACCGGAGAAUGUUAUCACGGGAGACACACGGCGGGUGCUAACGUCCGUCGUGAAGAGGGAAACAACCCAGACCGCCAGCUAAGGUCCCAAAGUCAUGGUUAAGUGGGAAACGAUGUGGGAAGGCCCAGACAGCCAGGAUGUUGGCUUAGAAGCAGCCAUCAUUUAAAGAAAGCGUAAUAGCUCACUGGUCGAGUCGGCCUGCGCGGAAGAUGUAACGGGGCUAAACCAUGCACCGAAGCUGCGGCAGCGACGCUGAUGCGUUGUUGGGUAGGGGAGCGUUCUGU
rnacentral:rRNA from 2 species